GAGUUUGAUCAUGGCUCAGAUUGAACGCUGGCGGCAGGCCUAGCACAUGCAAGUCGAGCGGCAGCACGGGUACUUGUACCUGGUGGCGAGCGGCGGACGGGUGAGUAAUGCCUAGGAAUCUGCCUGGUAGUGGGGGAUAACGCUCGGAAACGGACGCUAAUACCGCAUGCGUCCUACGGGAGAAAGCAGGGGACCUUCGGGCCUUGCGCUAUCAGAUGAGCCUAGGUCGGAUUAGCUAGUUGGUGAGGUAAUGGCUCACCAAGGCGACGAUCCGUAACUGGUCUGAGAGGAUGAUCAGUCACACUGGAACUGAGACACGGUCCAGACUCCUACGGGAGGCAGCAGCGGGGAAUAUUGGACAAUGGGCGAAAGCCUGAUCCAGCCAUGCCGCGUGUGUGAAGAAGGUCUUCGGAUUGUAAAGCACUUUAAGUUGGGAGGAAGGGCAGUAAAUUAAUACUUUGCUGUUUUGACGUUACCGACAGAAUAAGCACCGGCUAACUCUGUGCCAGCAGCCGCGGUAAUACAGAGGGUGCAAGCGUUAAUCGGAAUUACUGGGCGUAAAGCGCGCGUAGGUGGUUUGUUAAGUUGGAUGUGAAAUCCCCGGGCUCAACCUGGGAACUGCAUUCAAAACUGACAAGCUAGAGUAUGGUAGAGGGUGGUGGAAUUUCCUGUGUAGCGGUGAAAUGCGUAGAUAUAGGAAGGAACACCAGUGGCGAAGGCGACCACCUGGACUGAUACUGACACUGAGGUGCGAAAG
rnacentral:rRNA from 1 species